rnacentral:rRNA from 1 species
UGGAACGAGUGGUGUAGCGGUGAAAUGCGUAGAGAUCACUCAGAACACCGAUUGCGAAGGCAGGGCACUGGACCAUAUCUGACGCUCAUGCACGAAAGCGUGGGGAGCCAACAGGAUUAGAUACCCUGGUAGUCCACGCUGUAAACGAUCGUUACUAGAUAUCAGCCCCACUGGGUUGGUGUCCAAGCGAAAGCGAUAAGUAACGCACCUGGGGAGUACGCUCGCAAGGGUGAAACUCAAAGG